rnacentral:rRNA from 1 species
AGCAGCGAAGCCGUGAGGCGGAGACAAAUCACAAAACUCGGUCUCAGUUCAGAUUGCCAGGCUGCAACUCGCCUGCAUGAAGUUGGAAUUGCUAGUAAUCGCGAAUCAGAAUGUCGCGGUGAAUGCGUUCCCGGGUCUUGUACACACCGCCCGUCACACCAUGGAAGUUGGGGCGCCCGAAGUUGCCUAAGAAAUAAGGUACCUAAGGCGAAACCAAUGACUGGGGUGAAGUCGUAACAAGGUAAC